rnacentral:rRNA from 1 species
UACAGAGGUCCCAAGCGUUGUUCGGAUUCACUGGGCGUAAAGGGUGCGUAGGUGGUGAGGUAAGUCGGAUGUGAGAUCUCCGGGCUCAACCCGGAAAUGGCAUUGGAAACUACCUUGCUGGAGGGUUUGAGGGGGGAUUGGAAUACUUGGUGUAGCAGUGAAAUGCGUAGAUAUCAAGUGGAACACCAGUGGCGAAGGCGAAUCCCUGGAAAAUACCUGACACUGAGGCACGAAAGCUAGGGGAGCAAACAGGAUUA